rnacentral:snoRNA from 1 species
UUUUGGUGAUGACAAAACAAUUUCAGUUCUGCUUCUGAACCAAAUUUUCUGAAGAUAACAAAUUUUACCAAAGCUCUUUCUGACAA